AGAGUGAGGGGGUGACUAGUGACAGAGUGAGGGGAGGGGUGAUUAGUGGCAGAGUGAGGGAGGUGGUGACUUGACUGGCACUAGUCACCACCUCCCUCACUCUGUCACUAGUCACUACUCCCUCCCUCCUUCUGUCACUAGUCACCCCCUCCGUCCCUUACUCUGUUACUAGUCACCCCCUCCCUCACUCGGUCACCAGUCAUCCCCUCCCUUU